GCUCUCUCGCUCUCGCUCUCUUUAUCUAUCUCGGUGGAAACCGGGCGAAGUCGGACGCCUGUCCGUUCGCAACGCGCAGUCGGUUCGCUCCGCGCUCCUGGGGCUGCCACGCGAGAAGUGUUCUCCGAAGUUACGGCGAUAGUGCGGCAGCUGUGUCUGGGCUCGAUGCAUUUUUUCAUGCAGGAUCGAAGAAAAAAGAUGCCAGACCGCGCGCCGAUCGACACCGUCUCGACCAGAAGAUUAAUUAUUUCACGUAAACGUCGAUAAAAUGUAAGGAAAAAAGAAACUGUAUGCAUCUUGAAAUGUCAGAGAAUACGCAUGGAAGGUGACGAAAUGAUUCGUUCAGUUGUUACAAAGAAAUUUGGUUAAUUAAAUGUUAAAACGCGGACGAAAAUCAAAUGUUUAACCUCGAUGAUAAUCAAUGAAAUCUGAGGUAUUCCCUAAUAAUGUCAACUUCAAAAAAACAGGUGAGAUAGAUCCUUAUUCGAGGUCGUCAUUUAAUUAAUUUUAAUCAGUAUGCAGGUUUCCUUGCAUUUACGAGCUCGUAUGCGCCGCGUAAAUGCAUAAAGAUCCGCAAUCUAAUCAGCGUAUCUAACGGGAGGAGAUAUUUAGGUGGCCUCCUUCAGCCGAGCUACCCUGUAUAGAGUUCUCGCUGGUUCCAAUACGUGAAAAUCGUAUGUUCGCAGCCAUGCUGCAAGCCGGUUCGGCUCGCGUGGUAAUGCGAAAUCAAGAUCAACCCGAAGGUGACAAAAAAGAUGCAGUCCAUGAAAAGCGGUCGUCAUGUGAAUGAAAUUCGAAGGGUAUUCAGGUUUCCAAGAGCUCGCCGCCUUUGUGUGUCGAAUAUAAUUCUGAGAUCUGCCUUCUUCUACUUUACUCGCGUGCGAAAUACGAAAUCAUGUUCCCUUAUCGUCGGAAAUGUAAAUCUGUAUUUUAGAAUCGCUAUUUUCCAUUCGGAAUUUAUCUUGAAAAUCCCCCAAUUUCUUUCCGCUAAAGUUGGUUUUCAAUUUUACGUCGUCGUAGUAAAUAUCUUCUAUUCUGAAAAUAUCUCGAAAAUUCCCAGUUCCGUUCCGGUAAAACUAGCUUCCAAUUUUACAUCGUUGUAAUAAUUAUUUUCUAUUCUGAAAAUAUCUUGAAAAUUCCCAGUUCCUUUCCAGUAAAAUUGGCUUUCAAUUUUACAUCGUCGUAGUAAAUAUUUUCUAUUCUGAAAAUAUCUUGAAAAUUCCCAGUUUCUUUCCAGUAAAACUAGCUUCCAAUUUUACAUCGUCGUAAUAAUUAUUUUCUAUUCUGAAAAUAUCUCGAAAAUUCCCAGUUCCUUUCCGGUAGAAUUAUCUUUCAAUUUUACAUCGUUAUAGUAAAUAUCUUUUAUUCUGAAAAUAUCUUGAAAAUUCCCAGUUUCUUUCCAGUAAAACUAGCUUCCAAUUUUACAUCGUUGUAAUAAAUAUUUUCUAUUCUGAAAAUAUCUUGAAAAUUCCCAAUUUCUAUUCUGCAAUUAGAUUUCAAUUCGAUAUCAUUUCGAUCGAUAUUAUGCACAUGUAAAUCGUUCGGCCAUCUUCUCUUAAAUAAUCGAGAAAUUGAAAAAAAAGAGAAAGAUAUUUUUGCUGUUGUUCCUUUUUAUGAAAAAUUCAAAACGUCGUGUCUUUUUAGAACAGUUAAUUAUCUGGAAUGCCCAGAAAUUUUUUAUUCAACCCGACUCAAUAUGCAUUUAACGUUCUUUUAUUCCGUAUAUCGGAAAUCAAUAAUCAAUAAUAAAUUACGUUCGGAAACUGUUCCGCAACUGAAAAUAAAAUACGGACUUUGAUUUACCUGCAGAGUUGGCAGAAGUCUCAAAUACGGAUCAAGUUGUCCAACUGGCUGUGAAAUCGAAUCCGACGAAAGAUCGAUCGUAGGAAAUUAUAUUCGGAACACUGAACCUCCUAAUAAAAUAUUUCCCCGCAAUUUAA